rnacentral:rRNA from 1 species
GAUGAACGCUGGCGGCGUGCCUAAUACAUGCAAGUCGAGCGAACGGACGAGAAGCUUGCUUCUCUGAUGUUAGCGGCGGACGGGUGAGUAACACGUGGAUAACCUACCUAUAAGACUGGGAUAACUUCGGGAAACCGGAGCUAAUACCGGAUAAUAUUUUGAACCGCAUGGUUCAAAAGUGAAAGACGGUCUUGCUGUCACUUAUAGAUGGAUCCGCGCUGCAUUAGCUAGUUGGUAAGGUAACGGCUUACCAAGGCAACGAUGCAUAGCCGACCUGAGAGGGUGAUCGGCCACACUGGAACUGAGACACGGUCCAGACUCCUACGGGAGGCAGCAGUAGGGAAUCUUCCGCAAUGGGCGAAAGCCUGACGGAGCAACGCCGCGUGAGUGAUGAAGGUCUUCGGAUCGUAAAACUCUGUUAUUAGGGAAGAACAUAUGUGUAAGUAACUGUGCACAUCUUGACGGUACCUAAUCAGAAAGCCACGGCUAACUACGUGCCGGCAGCCGCGGUAAUACGUAGGUGGCAAGCGUUAUCCGGAAUUAUUGGGCGUAAAGCGCGCGUAGGCGGUUUUUUAAGUCUGAUGUGAAAGCCCACGGCUCAACCGUGGAGGGUCAUUGGAAACUGGAAAACUUGAGUGCAGAAGAGGAAAGUGGAAUUCCAUGUGUAGCGGUGAAAUGCGCAGAGAUAUGGAGGAACACCAGUGGCGAAGGCGACUUUCUGGUCUGUAACUGACGCUGAUGUGCGAAAGCGUGGGGAUCAAACAGGAUUAGAUACCCUGGUAGUCCACGCCGUAAACGAUGAGUGCUAAGUGUUAGGGGGUUUCCGCCCCUUAGUGCUGCAGCUAACGCAUUAAGCACUCCGCCUGGGGAGUACGACCGCAAGGUUGAAACUCAAAGGAAUUGACGGGGACCCGCACAAGCGGUGGAGCAUGUGGUUUAAUUCGAAGCAACGCGAAGAACCUUACCAAAUCUUGACAUCCUUUGACAACUCUAGAGAUAGAGCCUUCCCCUUCGGGGGACAAAGUGACAGGUGGUGCAUGGUUGUCGUCAGCUCGUGUCGUGAGAUGUUGGGUUAAGUCCCGCAACGAGCGCAACCCUUAAGCUUAGUUGCCAUCAUUAAGUUGGGCACUCUAAGUUGACUGCCGGUGACAAACCGGAGGAAGGUGGGGAUGACGUCAAAUCAUCAUGCCCCUUAUGAUUUGGGCUACACACGUGCUACAAUGGACAAUACAAAGGGCAGCGAAACCGCGAGGUCAUGCAAAUCCCAUAAAGUUGUUCUCAGUUCGGAUUGUAGUCUGCAACUCGACUACAUGAAGCUGGAAUCGCUAGUAAUCGUAGAUCAGCAUGCUACGGUGAAUACGUUCCCGGGUCU